rnacentral:rRNA from 1 species
UACGUAGGGUGCGAGCGUUGUCCGGAAUUAUUGGGCGUAAAGAGCUCGUAGGCGGUGUGUCGCGUCGGCCGUGAAAACCUGCAGCUUAACUGUGGGCUUGCGGUCGAUACGGGCAUCACUGGAGUUCGGCAGGGGAGACUGGAAUUCCUGGUGUAGCGGUGAAAUGCGCAGAUAUCAGGAGGAACACCGGUGGCGAAGGCGGGUCUCUGGGCCGAUACUGACGCUGAGGCGCGAAAGCCAGGGGAGCGAACGGG